UACGUAGGGCGCGAGCGUUGUCCGGAAUUAUUGGGCGUAAAGAGCUCGUAGGCGGCUUGUCACGUCGGGUGUGAAAGACCGGGGCUUAACUCCGGUUCUGCAUUCGAUACGGGCUAGCUAGAGUGUGGUAGGGGAGAUCGGAAUUCCUGGUGUAGCGGUGAAAUGCGCAGAUAUCAGGAGGAACACCGGUGGCGAAGGCGGGUCUCUGGGCCGAUACUGACGCUGAGGAGCGAAAGCGUGGGGAGCAAACAGG
rnacentral:rRNA from 1 species